GACGAACGCUGGCGGCGUGCCUAAUACAUGCAAGUUGAGCGCUGAAGGUUGGUACUUGUACCAACUGGAUGAGCAGCGAACGGGUGAGUAACGCGUGGGGAAUCUGCCUUUGAGCGGGGGACAACAUUUGGAAACGAAUGCUAAUACCGCAUAAAAACUUUAAACACAAGUUUUAAGUUUGAAAGAUGCAAUUGCAUCACUCAAAGAUGAUCCCGCGUUGUAUUAGCUAGUUGGUGAGGUAAAGGCUCACCAAGGCGAUGAUACAUAGCCGACCUGAGAGGGUGAUCGGCCACAUUGGGACUGAGACACGGCCCAAACUCCUACGGGAGGCAGCAGUAGGGAAUCUUCGGCAAUGGACGAAAGUCUGACCGAGCAACGCCGCGUGAGUGAAGAAGGGUUUCGGAUCGUAAAACUCUGUUGGUAGAGAAGAACGUUGGUGAGAGUGGAAAGCUCAUCAAGUGACGGUAACUACCCAGAAAGGGACGGCUAACUACUUG
rnacentral:rRNA from 1 species